GAACUUCGAGUCUGGAAAACGGCCCAGCACCCACUUCCUAGGGAGCGCACGUGUGAGGUCAGCAGGACCAGGCAGCUGGUGGGAAGAAGACCCUGUGAGCUCAGACUGUCCUUUCCGGGGGGAGGUGGUCCCUGGAGCAACCAGAGCUCUAAAACAUCUUCACUCGUGGCCUCUUCGGGGACGAAGAGCUGGUUCUUCCAUGGGCUCAGCUUUGAAGUGUUCAUUUGCACACACAGGACCAGCCAGGAGCAUCGCAGCCAAAGGCCGUCUCCAUCCGAGUGUUGCUUGUUUUUGAGCCCGGAGUCUCUUCCUUGGGGACAGACCCCUCUCAGCCCUCGACACCUGCUGUGUGUUUCGCACUUACAGCCUUUCAGGCUGGACCGGCCGCAUUUUGACGGCCCAGCGGCCGUCUGCCUGAGUCAGCGCGGACCUAAAGCAAACUGCACCGCCAAACUCGGCUCCUCUGUUGUCCAGGACCCUGCUGAGGCCACGGGUCUGAGCAUCCUCCUCUCGGCGCUCAGGUGAGCCUUGGGCCAGCUGGGGGUGGGGCCAUCCCAGCCUCACUCUUAGGCGUCUGUUUCCCUGGGCACCUGUCAUUGAUCAGUAGUCCUAGUGGCCCACCCGUUCAGUGGCCCCUACCUCAGAGCGGGUCUGGAGGGUCAGGAAGAAACACGUGGCCCUUUCGACAAGGUGGUGGCUGUGGCAGCUUUUAGAGGAACUGCCGUGGACUGAGGCAGGAGGUAGCUGGGCCCGGGGCUGAGAGCAGCUGGGACUUGUCAGGCCGAGUAAAUUGGGCCUGGCUUCUCUUUGACACUUUAAGGAGAAAGUUAAUGGCAGGAGCUGAGCUUUGUUGGAAUAAAAAGAUGAGAUGACCACA
rnacentral:lncRNA from 1 species